AAAUUUGAAAUCUGGCUCUUUUAGAGUCCGAGUUGUAAUUUGCAGAGGGCGCUUUGGCUUUGGCAGCGGUCCAAGUUCCUUGGAACAGGACGUCACAGAGGGUGAGAAUCCCGUACGUGGUCGCUAGCUAUUGCCGUGUAAAGCCCCUUCGACGAGUCGAGUUGUUUGGGAAUGCAGCUCUAAAUGGGAGGUAAAUUUCUUCUAAAGCUAAAUAUUGGCCAGAGACCGAUAGCGCACAAGUAGAGUGAUCGAAAGAUGAAAAGCACUUUGGAAAGAGAGUCAAACAGCACGUGAAAUUGUUGAAAGGGAAGCGCUUGCAGCCAGACUUGCUUGCAGUUGCUCAUCUGGGCUUUUGCCCGGUGCACUCUUCUGCAGGCAGGCCAGCAUCAGUUUGGGCGGUGGGAUAAAGGUCUCUGACACGUUCCUUCCUUCGGGUUGGCCAUAUAGGGGAGACGUCAUACCACCAGCCUGGACUGAGGUCCGCGCAUCUGCUAGGAUGCUGGCGUAAUGGCUGUAAGCGGCCCGUCUUGAAACACGGACCAAGGAGUCUAACAUCCAUGCGAGUGUUUGGGUGUCAAGCCCAAGCGCGUAAUGAAAGUGAACGGAGGUGGGAACCCGCAAGGGCGCACCAUCGACCGAUCCUGAAGUUUACGGAAGGAUUUGAGUAAGAGCAUGGCUGUUGGGACCCGAAAGAUGGUGAACUAUGCUUGAAUAGGGUGAAGCCAGAGGAAACUCUGGUGGAGGCUCGCAGCGGUUCUGACGUGCAAAUCGAUCGUCAAAUUUGGGCAUAGGGGCGAAAGACUAAUC
rnacentral:rRNA from 1 species